AUGGCUGAUGGAGCACCCACCCAACUGGAGCCGGAGGAGGAGGAUCCACUUGUCCACCAGCAGAAAAAGGAGGUAAUAGCACCCCAGUCCCAGGCCAAUCACAGCUCGCCAAUUGGCUGCCAGGUGGCUGGACCGAUUGAGGAAGCAGAGGAGGAGGACGGGGACGAGGAGCAGCAGCAUGUUAGGAUGCAUGACGGCAAGUCGUACCGCAUCACCUUCCCGGACUUUCCCGGCGGGCCGGGCACCUUCGAGGCGGCGGCCAAGUUCUGCUACGGCGUCCGUGUCGAGCUCACGCCCUGGAACGUCGCCCCGCUGCGGUGCGCGGCCGAGUACCUGGAGAUGACGGAGGAGCACUCCGAGGACAACCUGGCCGCGCGCGCCGAGGCCUACCUCUCGCAGUCCGUGCUCCGCCACCCCGGCGAGGCCACCAAGGCGCUCUCGUUACCUGGCAUUUAUGGAGUCAACUUCGAUGCAACCACCUAA
rnacentral:rRNA from 1 species